rnacentral:rRNA from 1 species
UACAGAGGUCCCAAGCGUUGUUCGGAUUCAUUGGGCGUAAAGGGUGCGUAGGUGGCGCCGUAAGUCGGGUGUGAAAUUUCGGAGCUUAACUCCGAAACUGCAUUCGAUACUGCGGUGCUUGAGGACUGGAGAGGAGACUGGAAUUCAUGGUGUAGCAGUGAAAUGCGUAGAGAUCAUGAGGAAGACCAGUGGCGAAGGCGGGUCUCUGGGCAGUUCCUGACACUGAGGCACGAAGGCCAGGGGAGCAAACGGG